GAAGUCAGGGACAGAAACAGCAUCAGGAAGUGUUGUUUCGGUUCAGGGAACAGCAUCAGGAUGAUGUUACAAGGACAGGCUUCAGGAAUGAAGCGAGGAUCGCUCAGGACGAGUUCAGGGACACCUCCAGGAAGGAGAAUGUGAGCCUGCAGGACCGCAGGUGGGUCAUGGAUGCUUAAGGAGCACGGCCAGAUGCCGUUUUCAGGAUGAUUUGGAAAAGUUUUCAAGGAUGAGCAGGGAGCACUAACGUAGCUGGAAUGCUGCUAAACGAACCGGGAGCACUGUUUUUGCAGUGCUCCCUUUUUUUGUG
rnacentral:other from 1 species